GUCUGCGUGGCCUAAUGGAUAAGGCGUCUGACUUCGCAUCAGAAUAUUGCAGGUUCGAGGCCUGUCGCGGACG
rnacentral:tRNA from 1 species